rnacentral:tRNA from 1 species
UAAUAAGAAGCAAUAAUUUAUGCAUUUAGUUUCGACCUAAAAAUAUGAUGACCCAUCCUUAUUUU